rnacentral:lncRNA from 1 species
CUGGUAAGUUAGUGCUUCUAUUACCCCAGGUCGAGGUAUCGAUUUACUGGCACAUUAUCUUUUUAAAAUUAGCUUUUUUUAAUAUAUUUCAAUGUCCCUUUUGCAUAAAAAUAAAUCCCACAUUUUUAAGGAAAAAUUUGGGUCUCUCUUUCUCUUCUCUCUCUCUUUAUGUGACUGUGGAAUGUGAAUUCUUCAAGAAAGCAAUAAUUUUUCCUUCACAUUCCUUUAAAUUUCUCAGGUAUGUAACUAUUCUCUCUCUCUCACUCACUCCUUGCUUUUUAUUUCAAUUCACUAGUUGAUAUUCCUUGCCCUCUCUUUUUUUCUUUUGCUCAAUGUUUAAAUCUGCUGCUGAUAUUUUGUCUUGUUGAUAGUGCUUAUGAUUGUUUAUUUCUAAAAUGAGAAGCUGUUGAAUGCUAUUUUUAUUGGGAAUUUGGGAAAGCUAGGGGUUUGAAGUCUUGAAUUUUGAUAGUUUAUUGAAUUUGAGCACAUAUUGGGUUUGAGAAAAAAAUUGACCGAGUCAAACAGUGAAAUCUAUGGGAAAAAGAAUUUAUGCAAAGGGAUUUAGUGGGACAAUAAUUUAAGAUUAAAAUAUCUCCACAUUAAACGAGUAUAAUUGUGUCAUCUUAAUUUGAACCAAGUAUGAGAGUUUUUCAAGCUAAGUGACGAAGUAUGCGAAGUGCUGACACAUUGAUAGUGCAAGAAGUGGCAUAUAGAGGAAGUUUACGGCUAAAGUUAGCUAGGAGAUUAACUGAUUUGAAUUUUUAUCUUUACAACAGUGAGAAAUUGGAGAAACUAAGGCAUUGAUAGGCUUUUCGCUUCUAUUAUUUGGGACCUCUGCCCAAGAUUCAAUUUUAUAUUUUAGUUGUACUUAUCAAAUGUUAUUAGUUAUAAAAAAACUUGCUCCAUCGAACACAAUUAAAGUAUAUAAGUUCAAAUAUACAUAUACAUAUGCAUAAAUUUUUGUGCUAUAACUUCUUCAUUUUUUGACCGAUAUGCUUUAAUGUGAUUGGUUUGAGUUUAACGAGUUAUUUGAAUUAAGAUAUAUUAAAAUAGAAGUGUGAAUAUUUAUAUUUGUAGGAACGAUCCAUAAUAUUAAAAUGGAUAUAUUUCUAUUCAAGCUGAAAAAUGGUGAACUAAGUUCUAGUGCUUGUUGGCAAUCCACGAGUUCAAAACUUGCUCCGGAAGUUCAAAGGGGGACAAAUCUUUCUCUACUUUUAAAUGUGAAUAAAGUGUUCGACUUGAAAUCGUUUGAACUGGAUCCGAAAUAAAGAAUGCCAAUCUCAGAUUAUGGUCCUUAUCACAUCCCUUUUUUCCCCCUUGACGGGGAAGUUGGGAUUUCGACAUACAUGGGGGGGAAUAACUCAUUUUCUAUUGGAAAUUAGGUAUUUGAAGAGUCGGCACCUAACAGAUUAUGGUGCGUUAGGGCACCUUGAAUAAUUAACUCAUGGACUAGUUUGCAUUACCAGAGAUUUAGGGUAAGAGAUCGAGGAGAGAGAAGCUCUGCGAGGAAGUUUUAGAGAGAGGAGAGAGAAGCUCUGGCGACUGGCAAGCGAGACGCCGCCAGCCGCCGGCCACCACCCGCCAUAUCCAAUCGACCUUACUAAUACUUCCCCACUGUAAAUAUGACGAGAGUGAUAACACGUGAAGCAGAAUACCACAACAAUUAACCCCAAUACCCUGCUACACUAGUUUCCUAGUAUGGGGAGUGCUCCUACAGUCAUGCAGGCACCGCCGGAGAAGGAGGUCGCAGGUGGAACGACGAUGGCAAGGAAACUCACGUACUCAAAUGAAACCCAGAAGCAAACAAUGGCGGAGGUAGUCAAAGGUAAUAGGAUUCAAAAUCAGGGCAUGCAGCUUAAGUUCCAUCCUCCGAUGAUGAAGGAUGGAGUGAAAAUCGCAAAAUUGAACCCUAAAGAGAUAGAGAUUCAGAACCAGAAGUGCAGGUAUGCUUUAAUCAGCUAUGUUUUAAAAGGUAACCCGUCAUUUAAGGAAAUGUUGAAGUAUGCUUAUGGCGUGGUAUGCAGCUUAUGUUCUAUCCUCCGGUGAUGAAGGAUGGAGUGAAAAUAACAAAAUUGAACCCUAAGCAGAUAGAGAUUCAGAACCAGAAGUGAAGGUAUGCUUUAAUAGGCUAUGUUUUAGGAGGUAAUCCAUCAUUUAAGGAAAUGUUGAAGUAUGCUUAUGGCGUCUGUAAUGAGGUUACAACGCCUACAGUGCUGCUGCAUGAUGAUGGGUACUUCAUCUUCAAAUUUGAAUCUAUGGAAGAUAAGAACCUACUAAUGCAACAAGGACCAUAUACGUUCAAUGGUAGGCCUAUGAGUCUGACGGAAUGGGAUCCUAAUUUUCAGAUUUAGAACGAGUCGAUGAAAAUUGUCCCAAUUUUGGUCAGUUUCCCUGGGCUGCCAAUCCAAUGCUGGGCUGAAGAGAACUUAGCCAGAAUAGCAAGCUUAAUUGGUAAGACUUUAUGUACUGAUAGAUUAAUUGCUGAAUGUGAAAGAAUCUCCUAUGGGAGAGUUCUUGUGGAAGUUGAUAUCACUCAACCUCUGCCUGAGAAUGUCUACAUUGAGAUACCAGAUGGAAGAAGCUAGCUACAAAAUGUGGAGUAUGAAUGGAAACCAACCUUUUGUUUAGAUAGCAACUCGUUUGGGCACAAAAAUGGAGAUUGUCAGAAGGAGGAACAACAGGCUGAAGGGAUACAGCGGCGGAGAAAGAGGAAAAAGAAGACAACCAGAUUGCAAUGGCAACCAAAAGCUGUAACAGAGGAGAAAUUAGAUGAGCCGAUACAGAGGCAGAGAAAGAGGAAAAAGAAGACAACCAGAUUGCAAUGGAAACCAAAAGCUGUAACAGAGGAGAAAUUAGAUGAGCAGCAGAAUAAAAAACCAACAGAGUUACCUGCAGUAGAAGUUCAAUUGAAUAAUAAAGGCAAGCAGAUUGCAAUUGUCCAAGGACCUAAAGAUAGAAGACAAAACAAAGAUACCAACUAUGCUGAACUAGCAAGGAGAAAUACAUUUGAAGUACUCACUAUAUUAGAGCCUACUGAUGGGAACCAACAGAUGGGAGAAUGCAGCCUAGAGCCAGGUCUAUUAGAUCCAGGAGGCACUACAUCCACUAUUUCCCCAUGAUUAUUGUAUCAUGAAAUAUUAGAGGACUAAACAAGUCCUACAAACAAAGAGAGUUAGUCAAAUUCCUGAGGACUAAUAGAGUUGAUAUAAUAGCUUGUCUAGAAACUAGAGUGUAUCCUGGAAUAUUAGAGGACUAAACAAGUCCUACAAACGAAGAGAGUUAGUCAAAUUCCUGCGGACUAAUAGAGUUGAUAUAAUAGCUUGUCUAGAAACUAGAGUGAAACAGCAAAACUCAAUGGCAAUCUAUAAGAAGCUGGGAGGUGAGUGGACAAUAGAGAACAACUAUGCAUAUUCUCCAAAUGGAAGGAUAUGGAUAAUGUGGAAAGAAUUCAAUGUUCAGGUGGUACUUCUGGAAAGCACUGAUCAACUGAUCCAUUGUCAGGUGAAAGAUAAGAAUUCAAUUUUUGCUAUCACAUUUGUAUAUGCCCUACACACUAGCGAACACAGAGCACCACUAUGGAGGGAUUUGAGAGUUUUCCAACAUACUGGCCCUUGGCUUAUAAUGGGGGACUUUAAUAGUCUAUUAGGGGUCGAGGAUAGGAUAAAUGGCCAGCCAUUGCAUCCUUCAGAGAUAGAUGAAUUUUAGAGAUGUAUUGAUGAUACUGGAGUGGGGCAUCUUACCAAAGAAGGCAACAAAUUCUCAUGGAGUAACAAAAGGAAUGCUGAAGCCAGAGUCUAUAGCCAAAUAAACUGGGCCUUUGGUAAUGAUGCGUUGUUCAAUUCUUACACAGGGGUGGAAGCACUAUACAUGUUACCUGGAUGUUCAGAUCACACCCAUAUACUGAUAGACACUGAAAUAAUUAAAACUAAAGUGAAUAGACCAUACAGGCUACUACUAACAGUUAUGCAACAAAAAGAAUACAAGGAAGCAGUUCAAAGAGUGUGGAGUCAACAAGUCAAAUGAUACACUAUGUAUUCUAUUUGAAGCAAACUAAAGAAGAUUGAGCAGGAAACCAGAACCAUUCAUCAGGAGCACUCAUCUGUAGAUAAGAAGCUGUAACAGAUGAGAAAAGAUCUAAGGGUAUUCAAGGAAAACAGAAUGCAGAUUAUUUCGAUAAAACAGUGAUUGAAGAAGAAAAGAAACUGUUAGAGAAUAUUAAAAAGUGGGAAGUGAUUCAAGAACAAAUAAUGAGACAGAAGUCAGGAGCAAACUGGAUCCAAGUGGGUGAUAGCAAUACAAAGUACUUCCAUGCAUAUAUGAAUCUAGACAAGCCAGAAACAGGGUGAGCAGUAUUCUCAAUGACAACCAGAUGAGGAUUACUGAUCCACAGCAGAUCGAGCAAGAGUUCACUCAAUUCUUUCACCAGUUACUGGGCACAACAGCACAUUAGCUUCCUGGAAUAGACUUCACUGUGGCUAGAGAUGGGCCCUGCCUAUCAUUGCACCAACAACAUCAAUUGUUAACUUCAGUAACAAGGGAAGAGAUCAGUCAGAUAGUACAUCACCUUCCUAAUGAGAAGGCUCGUGGAAUAGAUGGUUACCCUGCAGAAUUCUUUAAAAAGUUUUGGCCAACUGUGGGAGAGGAGGUUAUAGAGGCAGUGCAGCAAUUCUUUCAAACUGAAAAAUUAUUGAAAGAGAUUAACUGCACAACUGUAACAUUGAUGCCGAAAGUGAAAAAUCCCAACUAUGUCAAAGAAUUUCGAUUUCAAACUGGAAAAUUAUUGAAAGAGAUUGACUGCACAAUUGUUACAUUGAUUCCGAAAGCGAAAAAUCCCAACUACGUCAAGGAAUUUAGACCCAUCGCUUGCUGCUCAACACUGUACAAAGUUAUUGCAAAGAUCCUUACAAACAGACUCAAACUAGUUAUGGAUUAUUUGGUGGGCAUGCACAAUCAGCUUUCAUAGAAGGGAGAAACAUCCUAGACAAUGUUAUUAUGGCUCAUGAACUGAUAAGAGCUUACACCCAAAAGGCAGUAUCUCCCAUGUGCACAAUCAGCUUUCAUAGAGGGGAGAAACAUCCUAGACGAUAUUAUUAUGGCUCAUGAACUGAUAAGAGCUUACACCCAAAAGGCAUUAUCUCCCAGAUGCAUGAUCAAAGUGGACAUUAGGAAGGCUUAUGACUCGGUUGAAUGGGGGUUUCUGAGGGAAGUGUUGCUGAAAUUUGGUGUACCUUACAAAAUGGUCACUUUAAUUAUGGAGUAUGUCUCCACAUCAAGCUUCUCUCUACUAAUCAAUGGAGGUCUCACCAGAAAGUUUGCAGCAAGAAAAGGAUAAAGACAGGGAGACCCAAUGUCUCCCUACCUGUUUGUCUUAGUCAUGGAAUACCUCAACAAAACAUUGAAGAAACUAAACCCAGGCUUCAACUUCCACCCCAAAUGCUCCAAGUUACAAAUCACUCAUAUAUGUUUUGCAGAUGACCUUUUGAUGUGCCGUAGAGGUGAUGAGAUCUCAAUGAAGUUACUGUUGAAAGAAUGUGAUAACUUUUCCCAGAUGUCUGGACUGCAAGAAAACUUGGAGAAAAGCUCUUUGUACAUAGCAGGUGUCUCACAGGAAGUCAAAGAGAUGUUACUGGCAGACUUUCAACUAACAGAAGGGAAAUUCCCCUUCAAAUACUUGGGAGUCCCCUUAUCAACAAAAAAGAUCACAAUCACACAAUGCUUACCUUUGGUAGAAAGGAUAGUGGACAGAAUUAGAUGCUGGUCAUCCAAGGUCUUAUCCUAUGCUGUAAGACUCCAACUGAUUAAGAGUGUUCUAUUUGAAAUGCAAACCUAUUGGGCCCAGGUCUUUCUCAUUCCAAAGAAGGUCAUCAAACUGGUUGAUGGAAUAUGCAGAAACUAUUUGUGGACUGGCAAUCAUGAGACAAGUUGAAAGAGUAGUGGACAAAAUUAGAUGCUGGUCAUCCAAGGUUUUAUCCUAUGCUGGAAGACUCCAACUAAUCAAGAGUGUUCUAUUUGAAAUGCAAACCUAUUGGGCCCAGGUCUUUCUCAUUCCAAAGAAGGUCAUCAAACUGGUUGAUGGAAUAUGCAGAAACUAUUUUUGGACUGGCAAUCAUGAGACAUGUCAUAGGGCUCCAAUAGCAUGGGAAACAGUAUGCAAACCGGAGGCAGCUGGAGGUUUGAAUAUCAUUUGCUAUGCGAGGUGGAACAAAGCAGCCUUGUCGAAGCUGCUAUGGGCUUUUAUGUUAAAGAAAGAUAAGCUCUGGAUCAAAUGGAUCCACUGUCAUUAUAUAAAGAAAAAAGCAGUUGAUACAAUGGAAACUCCAAAGCAGGCUAGCUGGUUGGUAUGGAAAAUAUUUGGAGCAAGGGAAUGGUGGACACAUGAUAAUGCAGCAAUGCAAGCAUGCUGCCUGAAUGGAAGCUACAUCAUCAGCAAAGAAUAUAUACACUCUACUCCACAGUAUCCCAAAAUUCACUGGAAACAAUUAGUGUUGGUGCCUGGACUACUGCCAAAACAGAAGUUCAUAUUAUGGAUGACAUUGCAUAGAUGUUUGGCAACAGCUAACAUGUUAGAAAAGUGGGGUAUCCACACUGACCAGUCUUGUACACUAUGUGAGAGAGACAUUGUAGAGACACACGAUCACCUGUUCUUUGAAUGUUCUUAUUCCCAAAAACAGUGGCAAGGAUUGUUAAAGCGGCUGAACUUCAACAGAUUGAUAAACAACUGGGAGCUAGAGGUGCAAUGGGUUUCUGCUAGAGAUAUACACUGUGUGGGAGUGACAUUAUAGAGACACAUGAUCACCUGUUCUUUGAAUGUUCUUAUUCCCAAAAACUGUGGCAAUGAUUGUUAAAGUGGCUGAACUUCAACAGAUUGAUAAACAACUGGGAGCUAGAGGUGCAAUGAGUUUCUGCUAGAGUAAACAACAGAAAGCCAAGGAAAAUAAUUCUAGGAGUGGUGUUUGCAGCAGUUGUAUACAAUAUUUUGAUGGAAAGGAAUGAAAGAAGAUUUCGACAGUCGAGCAAAGAAGCUACAGAUAGAGCAUGGCAGAUCGCAAUCCAAGUGCACAUCACUGGACUGAAGAAGCCAAAAUGGCAGCCUACCCUACAAUACAUAAAUUGCUAUACUCAAUGUACUCCUUGACUAUAUCUACAUUUUUGUAUGUUAGGAGUUAGUUAAACAACAUUUUUGGUUUUAGAGUAGCUAGUUGAUCAAGUUUGAGAUUUGUUCUAUAGUCCCAAAGAACAAUUGAUGUACAUUUAUACUGGUUUCGACCAAAAAGAAGUUGCACAUACAUAAAGAAAAGUAAAUUUAUUUUGUACAACAAGAGUUGGGAAAGAGGGGUCCUAGAUUAGUUAGCCUACAAGAUCAUACCCACACAAUGCCGGGUAAACACUCCUCGAUGAGGGGCUACACGUGACAUUAGCGCGUACUCAUCAUAUUCCUGACUACCCAAUUCCCUCCCCUUGGUCAUAUCCUAAAGCGUUCUAACAACCUUGAAAGAUAUUCUAUGUAUGCACUAUUCAUCCUGUCACGACCCUAAGUCCGAACAUGGUCGUGAUGGAGCCUCUCAUGAAGACAAGGCCAGCCGACACACAUAAAAUUAAUUUUUAAGCAACUAAACAAUACAAAUUAUGUCUUAAACAUAAUAAGUAAUCCCAAAGUAAAGAUGAUUAAUACACUUGCGGAAUAGACAUAGCUCGGCACCAAGGUGUCACCAGUCAUGAGCAUUUAUUUUAACAACUACAAAUUUGAAAGAAUCUACACAACUAUUACAUAACUAAAAUAGGAGAAAAUAAGAUAGAGGGAGAAGCAAUGGGAUGCGAAUGUCGAGCAGCUAUCUAGUGAAUCUCUGAAGUCUGCUGGAAGCUCUCAAUCCUCGAAAGUAGAACCUGAAGCGCCUGAAUCUACACACGUGGUGCAGAGAGUAAAGUAAGAGUCGAACUCAGUGAGCAAUAAUAAUAAUUGAAGAUUGAGCUAUAAAAACACGUAAAGGAAAAUCAACAAGAUAUAGAGAAGCAGUAUAAAGCCAGUAAAAAGAAUGAGACAUUGAAACAUGUAAAACCACUUAGUUUGGAAGAAGCUUCUUUAAAAAUACCCUUUUAACAAUUAAACAGUUAAAUGGGAAACAACUAGAAUAGAUAAACAAAUAAAGAAUCACCCCUCGGGCACAAUACUAAUAGAAUCAGCCCCUUAGGCAACACAUGGAACCAUACCAGCCCCUCAGGCUAUAUAUCUCACUGGGGGUGUGCAUACUCCUGGAGGGGCCCCUUACGGCCCAAGUGCAAUAUCAAGCCAUAUCAUGGCAUAAUCAAUAGGCUCUCAGUCUCAUUUCAACAAGCCACCUCAUAGAGUACAAUCUGAGGACCUAUCAUAAAUCAGUGUAUCCUCACAACACAGCCCCUCAGUGUUACUUAGUCAGAAUCUCAUAAGCCACCCGGGCAACAGUAAAACAUGAUGCUCAACCCAAAUUAUCAUUAAAUAUAUUAAAACAGAGUAAACAUGUAUGAGUUAUGAAAACAAUAAAAUAUCGCAUGAUUAAUUUCAAGUAUAAAGUCAAAACUGUGAUAAAAUAUCAGUAAAAAUUCAGUAAGGGUCCAAAUAGUUGGCACGAGGACCAAAUAUUGCAUUCAGCCCAAAACAUGAUAAUAGCACAUAGUUUUCAGUCAAACACAGUAAAACAGUCAUUCGGGCCGGACUAAGUCACAAUCACCAACGUUGCCCGACCCCACGCUUGUCAUCUAGCAUGUGUGUCACCUCAAUAUAGCAUCACGGUGUGCAAUCCGGGAUUUCUUACCCUUAAGACAAUAUUUAAAAUCAUUACAUACCUCUAUCCAGUCAAAUCUCUAGCCAGUGAUGCCUUUUCCCCUCGAAACGGCCUCAACCCACGUCGAAUCUAUCAAAAAUCAAAAUCACAACACCAAAAUAUGUUAAGGGAAUGAAUAACAUCCAAAAAUAAUCAAUUUACAACAUAAAUCCCGAAUUUAACCAAAACCCAACCCUCGGUUCCACGUCUCUGAAUUCAAUAAAAUUUACUUUAUCUCCCCACGAAUUCAUACAUAUCAAAACUCCCAAAAUUUGACAAAACAUGGCCCAUCAAAUCCUCAACUCUAGGUCUCCAAUACCAAACCCGGGUUUCCACAAUUUUAACCCUUAAAUUCCAUUAAUUACUUGUCACGGCCCAAUUCACGAACCUGGUCGUGAUGGAGCCUCUCGUGAAGACAAGGCCAGCCAGUCAACCCAAUUCAUCCUUUUAAAACAUUUUAAUUUUCACAAUUAUAGUAUAAACAUGGUUUACUAAUAUCCAAUAACAGAAAGUAUAGAUAAAAUGCGGAAAUCCAACCCAACACAGCUCUUACCGAGGUAUCACAAGUCAUGAGCAACUAAGAAAUCCUGACACAAGUCUACUAAAUACAAAAUCCAAUACAAUAAUUCGAAUAACAUAGAAAUAAUAAGAUAAAGGAGCCACAGGGGCUGCGAACGCCAACCACUACCUCGUAGUCUCCGAAACACCACUUGGACCGGAAGGAUCAGCUCUCAAGUAUGGAAAUCUGUUAUGCCUAAAUGUGUACACACGGUGCAAGGAGUAAUGUGAGUACUCUGACCCAUUGAGUAAUAAAUAUAUACAAUGACUGAAAGUAAUAAAAUACGUUAAGGCACCCAACAUUCUAUACAGAAGCAGUGAAAUAAUAUAAAAUAACAAUUCAGUGAAAUAUCAUGUGAAAUUUCUGUUAAACUAGUAAAACAUGUAAUUUGGUAGUAAAAUGAAAAGUAGAAAUCUGCCCCUCGGGCUCAAUAUCAAAACAACAAGUAGAAAUCUGCCCCUCGGGCUCAGUAUCAAAAUAACAAGUAGAAAUCUUCCCUUCGGGAUCAGUAUCAAAAUAAUAAGUAGAAAUCUGCCCCUCGGACAUAGUAUCAGUAUCUCAGAACAGUAUCAGCCCCUCAGGCUCAAAACAGUAUGAAGCAACCAGUCAAUGAAAUAAGAGCACAUAAUUAUUAUGGCAGAUAAUGCAUAUAAGGAAAAAAUGCAUGACUACAAUCCAAUGCAUAUAACGGUACCUCUGGUACCCACUGCGGUGUGCAACCCAAGCCAUCAAUAUUUUUUUUAUCGUCGAUGGCACCCACUGAGGGCGUUUACAGACUCCGGGGGGUCUCCUACAGCCCAAGCGCAAUAUCAAGCCAUCUCAUGGCAUCAACCAGGCUCUCGACCUCAAUAUCAAUAUAAUCAACCAAGCUCUCUGCUCCAAUAUCAGUAUUAUCCACCAGGAUCUUGACCUCAAUAUCAGUAUAAUACUGUUGCGGUGCGUAGCCCGAUUCAUCCACGCUCAGUCCAGAAUCAUACAUAAGCCAUUCGGGCAAUAUUAAAAUAAUAGUUCUUAGCCCAAAGCAUCAUUUAAAAUAUUAUUGAAGUUUUCAACUCUUAGAAAAUGGCUGAGUUUGCAAAGAUCAAAUGAUAUGCAAAAUAAUGCGAAAAUAGUGAUACCAAUCCCUAAAGGAUUCAAAUAAUUGGCGCUAAGUCCAAAUAUAGGAAUAAGCCCAAAUCAUGAUGAUGACAAAUCAGUUUAUGUCAAAUAUACAGUAAACUCAUCAAUUGGGAUCGACCAAGUCAAAUCCCUAGUAGUAAAGAACUUUGUGCUUGUUAUCCAGCGCGUGUCUCACCUCAAUAUAGCACUAUGAUGUGCAAAACUGGGGUUUCAGGCCCUCAGGACAUCAUUUACAAUCAUCACUACCUAGAACCAGCUAUUUGUUUAAUUCUUGAUGCCUUUUCCCCUCUAAUUGGAUUCCAUGUGCGUCGAAUCUGCCCAAAAUCACAAAAAAAUAUGUUAGAUUAUACCAAAGAGACAAUACCCAAUCAAAAGAAAUCGAAAAAUAUCAAAAUUCACGAAUUUGACAAAACCCGAGCCUCGGGUCCAUGUCUCGAAACUCAAAAAAAAUUUAUAGCAAAAUGUUCUUCGUCCUCUCACAAAUCCGUACAUAUAAAGAACACCAAAAUCGGAUCUUGUUUGACCCCUCAAAUCGACCCUAGAAGGUCUCAAAAUCACAAGCCCUAAACCACAUUUUCUACUCAUUUUCUCCAAUUAAACACUUCAAAAACAUAUAAUAUUAUCGGAUUAUUUUAAGGUAAUUUAAUAUUAUGAAGUAGAAAUGAUCACAAGUGACUUACCUGAAGAUUUUCCAUUAUUUCUUGCUCAAACAUCGCCCUAAACCGUGUUCUUUCACCCAAAAAUGCUAAAAUGGGCUAAAAUAGCUGAAUAUCAUUAAAAAGACUCAUUCUGGUCGCUAAAAGUCUAAUCCCGUCGCUAAAAAUGCCCAAAUCUUGUCGCUAAUGGUGGGCACCGGAAGCUGUUGCACCAGCAAUGUUUAUUUUUACUAAAAGGCUCUAAAAAUAUUGGUUUUUUUCUUUCUGGGUUUCUUAGGCACCUCCAACUUCAAAACGGUCCGCUUGGCCAUUAUGAAUUCUCCACCAUACAAACUCUUGUUCCUAUGAAUCACAAAUAAUGAUAAUAACAUAGUCCUUCAAUCGAAUCUCAAUUCGGAGUUCAUUUGAUCAGUGCGAUACUCAUUUCACUCGUUAAAUAAUUAUCUCACAUUUCGCGUCAAAAACCCAAAUGUGACUUGAUGAAAUUAAACUAAACUUUCCAGAUCACUCCUAUAAUUCAAUAUCAAAAUCCCAGAAGUCUCGAAAUAAAAUUUCGAUAUGUACAACUAAAAAUGGACCUUUGGAUCAUUACAUGCUUAUGCUCAAAAUGCCAAAAUCUUCCAAAAACUCUUUCAAAACUUAUCUGAGCUUCACGGGAUUCCAAUAAAGUAUACUAACAAGUCCCAUAAUAUGACACAAACUUAGUUGUUCCUCCGAAUCACUAAAAACAAUGCAAAAAUAUUAAAUUCACCUUGGAUUCAAGCCUAUGAACGUUGAAACUUCUAACUUCCACAUCUGUUGCCGAAACACGUCAAGACUAGUCCGAAUGACCUCAAAUUUUGCAGACAAGUCCAAAAUGACAUAACGAAGCUGCAAUCUGACCCUCGAAUCUCACCUAUCAAUCGGAAUUCACCAAAAAUACUAACUUUGCCAAUUCAAGGCGGUCAUCACAAAAAUAUACCGUACACACUCCUAAGUACUAUAUCACUUAAAGAAGCUAUCCAAACCAUAAAAUUUGCAUUUCGAGCCCUCUAACACAUAAGUAAAUAUCCAGUUGACUUUUCCAACUUAAGCUUCCUUAAAAAGGACUAAAUGUCUCAAAAAAUUUCACACAAGUCACAUUCGACAUUACGAACUUGCCCGAACUUUGGAAAUCACAUUCCGACCCCGAUAUCAAAAUUUUCACUUCUGGUCGAAUUUUCAAAAAAUCCUUUGAAUUUCUAUAUUUAGCCAAAGUACUUCAAAAUGACCUCCGCACAUCUGAAUUCACUUUCGAUCGCUCUCCCAACAACAUAAUUACCAUACGAAGCUAUUCCCAGUCCCGUAACCCCAAAGGGACAUCUAUAACCCUGAAAUGCCUUCCAAUCCAAAUUUAUGAAAUUCUUCUAAAAUAGUUGUCAGGACCCAAACUCUAUCGUGAUGGCGCCUAUCCCUAAAGCUAGGCAAGCCUAACCAACAAUCGCUCUCCUUUUAAAAAUAAGUCUCAAUACCCACAAUUUAAGGAGAAAUGUAAUAAUUUUGGAAUAAUAAUCCAAUAAUAUUAAUAUAAUAAUAUGGAGACCGAUAGACAUUCCCAUAAGAUCUUGGGUCACGAGUCUAGAGCCUCUAAAACAAACUAGAUAAUAAUAUCUGAAUGAAAAUAUAUAUGUCUGGAAAUGUAUAUAAUAAUGGAACUGAAAUGGGAAGAGUAGCCAGGUCUUGCGAACAUCAAGCUGCUACCUCAACAACUCUGAAAGUAUCUCUGGAGACAACAACUGCUCAGCUAAGGUGUACCGGAUUCUUCACACAAGGUGCACGGAGUAGGGGUGAGUACUACCGACUUAGUAAGUAAUAGGCAUAUAAAAUUUCUUAAGAUAGUAAAUCCACGAAAUGCCACAAAGCAAAGCUAAAACUAACAGUCUGGCACCUUAACUACAAACUAACAGCAAAGCAAUAUCAAGUAUAUCAGUAAAGUAUCACGCACAAAUGCAUUGCAAUGCACAUGAAUCCGCUGCGGCGUACAUCUUGAUCCGUUUAAUGUCGUCGGUGCUCACUGAGGAUGUGUAUAGACUCCGGAGGGGCUCCUACAGCCCAAGCGCAAUAUCAUCAUAUCACUGCUACGGCGUGCAACCCGACCCAUACUCAGUUCACAAUAUGCAUAUGAGUCACAUAACAUAUUCAAUCUAAUUUCCCAGUUUCCAAUUAUUAAGAAAGAAUAUCAUUUAAUUAUUUAAUUUUAGGAAAAGUGACUUAGCAUUUCAUAACAGUGAUUAAACAUAGGACUGAGAUCAAUGACUAUACAAAUCAUGCUAUCACAAUGAUAUUUAUCCUUGACGGAUACUACAAAUCGGCACAAGGCCCAAAACAUGGCACUAGGCCCAGAUAUAUUCAAUACAGUGUGUGUAUCAGUCGCUAAUAUAUAAUAGUUAUCACUCAGGAUUGACCAAGUCACAAUCCACAAUCAUAUACGAUCCCCCACUUGCCAUGUGGUGUGAUUCACGCCCUAUGUAGUGUCACAAUGUGAUAAACCGGGGAUUCAAACCCUCGGACCAUCAUCUAUAUGAACUACUCACCUUUAACCGGUCGUAGACGGGUCCGCAAUGACUUUUCCUCUUGUAUCGACCCCCUCGCGUGUUGAAUCUAGUCAAAAUCAUAACGAAUACAUAUAUAUCGGUUAAACAAACAUAACCUAAUAAAAAAUACUGGAAAAGUACUAAAAUUCACGAAGUUGAUAAAACUCGAGCCCGGGGCCCACUUCUUAAAAAAUUACAAAAGUCACAUCAAUGGAUUUUUUGUCUAGCCACGAGUCUAUAGAUAUAAAGUUUACCAGGUUUACCAAAAACAGAGUUCAAAUGGCCUUUCAAAUCCCCAAAACCCGUUUUCAAACCCAAGCCCUAGUUCUUCAAACUUUCACCCAAAAUGAGUAAUCUAGUUAGGAUAUUUGAUGAUAAUCACAUAUUAUUGUCUAACAAUGACCACAAGUGACUUAUCUCCAGUUUUCACAUGAAUUCUUACUCAUCAAUCACCCAAAAGAGGAUUGAAGACUAGGGAAUAGAACAUUACCUCUUUCAUGAAGAACUUGUGAUUGGGUUAUUCGAUUCUUGAAGAUUGAUGCAAGAUUGGAUGAUUCAAAUGGUGAGUUCCCCCACUCUCUCUCUAAAAUCAUCUCACCUCUCUCUAGAAUGCUCAGAAAAUCACCCCAAAAUGAACCUCAAAGCAUAUAUAUUGAAAUGGAGUCGGGUUACAAAAAGUGGAAAGUUAACACUCCGAAGUCGGGUCUGCUGUAGUAGAACGGGCCGCAGAAUGAACAUAUGGUCCGCAGAAUGCACCCAGAAUCGACACUCAAAACUGGGCUACACUGGCCCAAUCUGCGGUCAAAAUGCUUCGCGUUAUAAAAAGUGGGAAGUUAGCACUCCGAAGUCGGGUCUGGUGUAGCAGAACGGACCACAGAAUGGACAUGCGGUCCGCUGAAUCGACACUCCAAACUAGGCUACACUGGCCCAAUCUGCGGUCAAAAUGCGACCGCAGAGUGCAAAAUGCGACAGGUUUGCAGUUGCAUAUUUCACACAGGUUCAUAUUUUCCAGCCUUUAGUAAUUUGAUCAUAACUUUGGGUAGGAAUGUCCUAAUGAUGAACAGUUUGAAGCGUUUGAAACUAGACUCAGUGAUAUUUAAUUUGAUAGGUUGCUCACUAACCAACGCUUUGUAAAACUGGAGAUAUGAUCGUUUGAAUUGAGGUCUUGUGUGCACUCAUUUACAACUUCGUCGAUUAUGAAGUUUUCCAACUUCGAAGGUUCCCGUCAGCCAUCCGAAAUCACCCCGAGGUCCCCGGGACCUAAAAAAAGUGCAAACCCAUCCUAAAACAUCAUAUGAACUUGUUCCAAUCAUAAAAAUACAUCCAACAACACAGAAAUCACCAAUUCUUAACGGAUUCCAGCCUAAGAACUUUGAAACUUCUAAUUCCAUAUCCGAUGCAGAAACACGUCAAAACUAUUCUAAAUGACCUCACAUUUUGCAGCCAAGUCCAAAAUUACAUAACGAAUCUACACCAACUCUGGAAAUUCCAUUUCGACCCUCGGAUCAGAAUCUUACAUACCAACCAGAUUUCUCUAAAAUCCUAACUUCGCCAAAAUAGGCAAACUUCUACACUGAACCUCCAAAUUUACUUCUCAUUUCUCUACUAAUUCCCAAAUCAUCACCCGAAACUAAAAAAUCAUCGAAAAUCUAUUCCGAGCCAUCUAGCUCAUAAGUCAACAUUCGGUUGACUUUUCCAAACCAACCUUCUCAUAAAGAGAAGAAUUGUCUCAUUUCUAACUGAACUCUAUCCGAAUUACUUCAAAUUCACCAAACACAUAUAAUGAAAAAUAUAAAGCAUAAAACGGGGAAAAAGGUCAGAGACACUAAAGCGACGGGUCGGGUCGUUACAAUACUACCUUUCACAAUAUAUGCCAAAAUGCUCACGGGUUAUCCAAAACCAAAUCUGGACAUAUGCCCAAGUCCGAAAUCAUCAUACGAACCUGCUGGAACUUUCAGAUCCUGAUUCCGAGGUCGUUUACUCAAAAUUCCAAUUUUAGCUAUUUUCUUCAACUUAAGGUUGCCAUAAUAAGAAUUAUCUUUCCAAUUUAACUCUGAAUUUCCCGAAAUUCAACUCUGACCAUACGCACAAGUCAAUAUACCUGAAUGAAGUUGUUCAUGUCUUCCAACUGAUGAACGACGCGCUAGAGCUCAAAACGACAGGUCGGGCCCGUUACAUUCUAUCCCACUUAAAUAGACGUUUGUCCUCAAACGUACCAAGAAGUGAUCUUAAGUUAUCUGAAAUCACUGUUUAACACCUCGUGCACCUGUCCUUGCAACCACAACUUAUAUUGGCACAGUAGUUUGAUCAAAUCUGAAGAUAUCCUCUUUUAUCCAUACAAUAAGCUCAUAACCCAAUUCCAACAUCUGAAAUUCUCUGCCAUAUCUGUUCCUUGUAUAUAAACACUGUAUCAACUACCACACGAGGUACCAGAACAUGACUGUGUACCUUUGUUGAAUUAGCACCAUGCAUCGUAUAAUUCACCAUCUAACCACAAUGACACUCCAUGAACCUUAAUAGCCAAAAUUCCACUACUUUGAUGCUCCCACUGCAUAUGAUGAUAUACAUAUACAUUCUGUUAUAGUGCUAAUGAUACAACCACAACGGAGUAGAUGUGCAGAAAUUUCUAACCAAUUGCAGAGUUAACCCAACAUUAAUUCUCUCCUUUUUGACUAAAAUCAUCACCUCAUUACUACCAAAUAAUGGUAAUUGCCUUGUAAUAUACCUUACAUAAUCCCACUGCAAUGGUCCCCGAUACCAAUAGUUUCACCUCUCCUAGUACGAGCUGCUCAGAAAACCAAUCUCUCACGACCCAUUUCAAGAACAGGUCGUGAUGGCACCCAACAACCUUGCUCCCUGACACCAAUAGUCUCGCCUCACCUAGUACAAGCUGCUCAGACAACCAAUCACCAUAGAUAAUGACCAACGGUCUCAUGUGAUGCAAAAAUGCGCCAAUAGACCAUAAUGCUAACAAGAUACAUAAGGAAAUGACUAGGAAUGGACUGCUCAACUCACAUACUAAUAUGUACUGUUCCCUAGAGAAUAGGAAUUUAUCAAGUCGUUUCACAACACACAUGGCACAAUAAUAAUAUUACAUGAAUUGACGAACACAUAACAACAUAUGAUAUACCAGCAUCCCUCAUUAAGGAGCGCUAUAGUGAAAUGAACACAUCUAACUCACAUGAAGCACAUCAUCAUAUUUAAAUCCACUCACCCACUUCAGGUCAAUUCUGCUCGCACUGAACUAGGAUGAUAGCCUUUCCUUGACCCGUAAUAGGUCAUUUUUUCUCAUAACAUGCAAGAACUACAACCGUAUCCGGGACAACACCCCACAAUCCACAACCAAAUGAACCGACCAACUUCAUAUAUAUCUUAGAUGUUCUUCCAACAUUUCUACUUUUUUAAGUCCCCAAGAUUUGACUAACUCCCAUAUUUUUUCAAAUAUUUCGGUAGAGGGAAUAAGCCUAUUCCUGUCAGAGUAACACCGAAAAACGCAUAACAUGUCCACAACCCAACAAGUACCACAAGUAUAUCAAUAACACUAAUCUCCGCAUUAUAAGCCCGACAUUAUCACAAUGAUAUCUUGACAUGAAACGUAUAAUUUGUAUGAUCAUAACCACAUUUCCGUCUUACUAGUUCAUAAAUAAUUCCAUCAUCAUCAAUAAAUCUCAUAUUAAUCACCACCUCAUUUCAAAUUUUCACAAUACUGACAAUAGAAUGUGAGGCAUGAACACCUCAUUAUUACUUAUUCUGAUUAAUGAGUCACGUUUAACGCCACCUGGGAACUCAUCUCAUAAGCUAAAACUCAUUGUUUACAGUAUGAAAAUGGCUGAAUAUGAACAUAAAAUAUACAAGAAUUAUCAAAUCAACCUAACUAGCAUGACUCCCUUUUAAUAUUAUCGUACGAAUUAAACUUUACAAAGGAAAACUUUAAACUCAUAAAUAUUUACCACAAGGAACUCGUCCUUACAUAACCUCCACCGCGUUUUACAGCCCGGUUUAAAUAUUUCACAUUGUGCCAACUGCAGUUUUCCAUUUCCUUUCUUUAUUCUUCUCAAUAAAUUUUGUAAACAUUUUUUUUCAUAGCACAUAACGAACCAUCAUACCGGUAGGGCAUAUAAUUCAUAAAAAAAAUUGGAAUCAAUUAUUCCGAAACACAUUAAACCCAUUGUAGUGAAGCAUACAAACAAUAAGAUAUAGAUGGGGUUCCACAGAUGCAUCAAAGAUCACAGCAGAAACAAGUUGAAGAGAUCUAAAUCACACAACUAGAAUCACUUUAAGGAAAUUAACUGACUUAGUAGAACUGAAACAAAGCAUGCAAGGACUUAAAUGCUAGGCGAGUAUUAACAGUGAAGGCAUACCAAUUAUAUAGAAGCGUAGUUUAGGAAAAAUAUAGUUAGUCCAAACAAGCAUAAGUUACAUAGGUAGACAUGCUAAACAAGACAGCAAAUAGGAAAAUAAAGUGGAAACAUAAUAAUCAUAGUUUGAAUAGGAAAUUUUAGACAUGCUUGGAUAAGCAAUAAACAGAAAUAUGAAUAGGCUUAGGCCAUAUGAACUAAAGUAGUAAGUAAAGACAUAGGUUUGAUUCUCAAAAAUUAAUCAGAAGCAUAUCUUGUUAAAGAAUGAAAAACACAAGAUGUGAGAAAGGUAGUCUGCAACUCCCAGUCUUGGCUUGCAGCCGGCUAGAAUGCUAGGGAUAACAAGAGGAAAAGAGAGCAUAGAGAGCCUUUUUAGGGUGUAAAAAGUAGUAGUUUUGAACUGUUGUCCGUGUCAGAAGUGAAAAUAGGAGGGAGUUUAUAUAAUAAUCAAGAGUUAAACAAAAUAAGGUAAAGGAUCAAUUAAGUAGCAAUUAGGGAAAUUCAUGGAAUCAAUCACCCAUAUAAAUCUUCAAGUCUACCUCUUAAUCAAGGGAUAAUCAAAUCAACAGUAAAAGCAUGCUAGAUAUUUAUGGAAAAAAAUCAAGUAAAUUUUGGGUAUAGAUUAGGUAAUUAGAUGUAAAUAAAAAGAAGUUUCAAUUAAGGAACCAAUCAAUACAAAUCAGUAAACAACAAAUAAGGCAAGGGAAAACUAAUUAAGGCAAGAAAUUCAAUCAAGCCGAGGAGAGAGGUAAGAAUCAAAAUUUUCGAUAAGGAAAAGAUUUCAAAUAAAAUAAGAAAAUAAGAACUUCAGAAUAGUCAAGGGUUUAAUCAAAGAGAAUAUCACGUAAAGACUUAACGAUUUUCGCAUACAACUUAAAUAAAGAAAAAAAAGAAUAGCCAAAAUAAACAUAGGCAUAUAGAAUCAAUGGAAAAUUGAAUUAAGAAACUCAUUAGAGGGGAUAAGAAAAUCACAAAAAAUCACAAAAACCAAGGCAAGAACAAAGUCAGCGUACAAGUACUCAAAAACCAAACGAAGAAUGUCGGAAAAAUUAAGGAUUUUAGCAUAUACGAGUUGAAGUUAGACAAAACCUAACGAAAUCGGUUAAAACAUAUAGGAAACAGAAGAUUAAACAUCCAAAAAUCAUCAAAUGUUUUGAAAAAAGAAAUUUUUGGAAACCCUAGUUUAGAAAAAUAUGAAAAAUCAUUAGAGAAUCAGACGAUUAUUGUAAAGAAUCGAAAGGUUAUUGUAAAAGUCCUAUGAAAUAGGUCCAAACCAUCUAAGAUCUAUACAAAUCUAAGAAGUUCAAAAGAAAAGAAUUAGGAAUCAAGAAGAAUAAUCACAAAUAUAAAGAAGCAAACUAAGAAACCCAUAGAUAUAGGAAUAUCUCACUUGGAAUAAAACCAGGACAACCGAAAAUAGGCGAGAAAUGGCCAUAGAUGCAUGAAAACUAACCGUAGUACCUUGAGGAAUCUGGAGAUGGCAAUAUCAGCGUAAGGGAGACUAUUAAAGGCCCGGUGGUGGUGGGGAAACACCAUGAAAGACAACAAAUGACAGGCAAGGUAGGUAUAUUAGGGUUAGGGCUUGAGAUCUUUUAGAGAGGAAAGGGAUUUCAAGGCGGCGGAUGGUGAGGAAGUAGGAGGGUUUUGAGGGGUCGUUUUGUUUAUUUUAGGCAAAUGUCAAUCUGAACAGUUGAUCACAAUGAUUAACGGCUAGGAUCUGCCGCAUUAUUGGGUUGGGGCAGAUGGGUAUUGGGCCAGGUACAUUUUAAAUUUAAAAUUGUGCUGGGUAUAUGUUUAAAUUAGGAUCAAAAUUGAAAUAUAAUAGGGCCAGAUUUUAAAUUACCACUUUUGAUAACUAAAUAAUUUAUAAAAAAUAAUAAAUGAGUACCAAAAACAUUUUUUCUGUACUAAAAUUAUUUUUAAUACUUAUUCAAUAUUUUAAAAUUAUAAAAUAAUAUUAUAUGCAUAAACAAUGUAAUUACACAUCAGUAAGGUCUAUUAUUGCAAAUAUGUAUAAUUUAGCUUAAAAAUACAAAUAUAAUUACAAAAAAUGCACAAAUAUUUUUUAAACACUAUGUUAGCAUAAAUAAUAAAUUUGGAUGUCUAAAUAAUCACAAAAGUAAUUUGAAGGAUAAUUAUUGGAUGUUUAUAUAAUAAAAACAGGAGAAAUAAAUUGAUUUGGAGCUUUUUAAAAUUGUAGAAAAAUUAUAAAAAAAAUACUUAUAUAUACUCAAAAUUCCAAUUUUAGCUAUUUUCUUCAACUUAAGGUUGCCAUAAUAAGAAUUAUCUUUCCAAUUUAACUCUGAAUUUCCCGAAAUUCAACUCUGACCAUACGCACAAGUCAAUAUACCUGAAUGAAGUUGUUCAUGUCUUCCAACUGAUGAACGACGCGCUAGAGCUCAAAACGACAGGUCGGGCCCGUUACAUUCUAUCCCACUUAAAUAGACGUUUGUCCUCAAACGUACCAAGAAGUGAUCUUAAGUUAUCUGAAAUCACUGUUUAACACCUCGUGCACCUGUCCUUGCAACCACAACUUAUAUUGGCACAGUAGUUUGAUCAAAUCUGAAGAUAUCCUCUUUUAUCCAUACAAUAAGCUCAUAACCCAAUUCCAACAUCUGAAAUUCUCUGCCAUAUCUGUUCCUUGUAUAUAAACACUGUAUCAACUACCACACGAGGUACCAGAACAUGACUGUGUACCUUUGUUGAAUUAGAGAUGAAGUGAGAAGAUAUUUAAUAAACAAAUGGCCUUGUCAAUCGAUUGGUCAUGCCUUUCCUUAAACUAAAAUUGGGAGUAAAAUGCGUCAAUUUAGCCCCACUUGGUUUAGGGGACCAUAUUCUCAAUGGUUGGAGUAUAGCAUAAAAGGAGAUGCGGCAUUUUGUUUAUGUUGUUACUUGUUCAAGAAUGAACUUGAAAGUCGUGGAAAUGCAGGGGAUGCAUUUACAAAAUAUGGUUUUAGGGGAUGAAACAAGGGUGUGAAGAUUCAAAGCACAUGUUGGUGAAAUAAAUAAUAUCCAUCAUAAAUGCUUCAAUAAGAUGCUAGAUUUGAAAAAUCAACGUCAAUCGAUACAAUCUUCUUUUGAUAAGAAAAGUGAAAAAGUAAAAAGUUGUUACUGGAUGCGCUUCAAUGCCUCAAUUGAUGUGGCAAGUUUUCUUUUAAUAUCAGAAUUUUUAUUUCGUGGACAUGAUGAAAGCGAAUAUAAAGGUGGCUUUCUUGAACUUUUGGAAUGGCAUGGAGAUCGGCAUCCAGAUGUGGGAAGAGUAAUACUAUGUCAUGAUCCACAAAUAAUAUGAUGAUUUGUCCAACAAUACAAAAAGAUAUUGUGGAGGCUUGUGCUAAAGAAACAACUUAAGCUAUCAUUGAAGAUUUGGAAGGAGAUUAUUUUGCAAUAUUAGUUGAUGAAUCAAAGGGCUCCUCAAUAAGGAGAAAAAGGCUUUAGGUUUGCGAUAUGUGAACAAAAAGUGGAAUGGUGAUAGAGCGAUUCUUGGCUAUUGUCCACGUGAGUGAUACAUCUUCUUUAUCAUUAAAAAAAAUCAAGUUAUUCUUUGCUUUUGGAUCAUUAAGUAAAUCCAAGAUAUGUGGGAAAGGUUAUAAUGGAGCUAGUAAUAUGCAAGGAAAAAUAAAUGGUCUCAAGUCCUUAAUUUUGCAAGAUACUCCCUCUACAUAUUGUAUUCACUGUUUCACUCAUCAAUUGCAACUAACACUUGUAGCUCUUUCUAAAACAUAUUCGGAUGUGGAUAAUUGCUUUUGUGUUGUAACUAAUAUUUUGAAUACUAUUGAAUCUUCAUUUAAGCACUUAGAGCCACUUCGACAACAUCAAGCAGACAAAUUGAAAGAGUUGCUUAAAUUUGGAGAAGUCUAUAGGGGCCAAGUUUGAAUCAAGAACACGACCUCCAAUGAACGGGUGAUACUCGUUGGGGGUCUCAUUUUAAAACCUUGGAAAAUUUGAUGGUUUUAUUUUCUUCAAUUGUUAAUGUGCUCUAAGAUGUGAAGUGUGAUCGUCCAAAUUAUCUUGAUAGAUUUGCAGCGGAAAGUCUCUUUGUAAUGACCUAAUCCCCGAUACGAUCGUGAUGGCGCCUCUUGUGAAGACAAGGCCAGCCAACUAACCUAUUUCGCCUUUUCAAAAUAGUUAAAUAUAAAUAAACAGUUUAAGUACGAGUAAAUAACCACAAACUAAGCAAAAGAUUUUUAUAUAAUGCAGAAUACAGCCCAAACACAUCUCGAUACUGGGGUGUCACAAGUCACGAGCAUAUAUUAGAGUAUGAAUACAACCAUAAGGUCUAAAAUACACAAAACAGGACUGAUGAACGAAAAGGGAGAAAAGCGGUUCUGCGAACCCUGUCAUUCACCUUGUUAAACUCCUAUAACUCUAACUCCGAUCAGCCAAAACCCGCUACCAGUAUAUAAAUGCCUGUAUUUGCAUGCAAAGUGCAGGGACUAAAGUGAGUACUCCAACUCAGUAAGUAAUAAAGGUAAAUAACAACUGAGUGAUAAGAAAUCACGUAAAUCAAAUCAACAAACUGUAUAGAAGCAGUGUAAAACCCUUUGAGAAAAAGCAGUGAAGCUGUGCAUUCUUUAGAAUCAUCUUAGCUCAUUUUCAACCUCUUUUGAAAUGACUUUUUCAGCAGUUACGCAAAUGAACGCAAAGCAGUUAGUGCCGAUAAGCACAGCAAAACCCGCCCCUUGGGCAAAAAUCCCAUCGUAUAAUAGGUAAAUGACAAGUAAAUAGUAAAGAUGAACACAUAAAGGUUCGUCCCUUGGGCAAUAUCUCAGAACAGUACCAGCCCCUCGGGCUUACUCUCAGAACAAUAUCAGCCCCUCGGGCUCACUCUCAGAUCAUAAUGGGUACCCCCGCUCACUAGGGGUGUGCAUACUUCGGAAGGGCCCCUUACGGCCCAAGCGCAAUAACAAGACAUCUCGUGGAAUCAACUCUCCACUCUCGGCCUCACAUCACUCAAGCCACCUCAUGGCGUAUAAAUGUAUCUCAGGCCCUCGGCAUCAUAUCACUCAGUGUAUUUACACAUUUGUCCCUCAGCCUAACACAGUAAGAAAUUAUCACAAGCCCAUCGGGUAUUAGUAAAACAAUAGUUCUCAGCCCAAAACAACAUUUAGAAAUAACAUUUAAGUCCCAAAACUGAGUAAAAAGUGGCUGAGUUGUAAAACAGUAUGACUGAGUUAAAGUAUUAAGUAAAAACAGUGAGGAAACAAUGAUAAAAUUCUCCGAAGGGUUCAAAUAGUUUGCACGAACCCCAAAUAUGACAAGCAACCCAAACAAUGAUGAUACAAAUAAGUUUCAGUCAAAUACACGGUAAAAUCAUCAAUCAGGAUAGACCAAGUCACAAUUCCUAAUAGUAAACGACCCCACGCCUAUCAUCAAGCGCAUGUCUUACCUCAAUAUAACACUUGAUGCGCAAUCCGAGGUUUCAAACCCUCAGGGUAUCAUUUACAAUCCUUACUCACCUCAAACAGACGAAAUCUCUAGAUCGUGAUGCCUUUGCCCCUCAAACCGGCCUCCACACUCGUCAAAUAUAUCCAAAAUCAGAAUGAAUAUAAGGUCAAAGCAAGCAUAUAAGCCACCUCCCCAAUCCUCCUAAGUAUCUUAAACGUCCAAUGAACCUUGGAAUCAGCUUCCCUUUCUUUCCAAACCUCAUAAAGCCUUUCAUAGGAGAAACCUUCAACAAGACCUUCUCGCCCACUACAUAAGAUACAUCUCGAACCUUCCGGUCCGCAUAACUCUUCUGAUGCGAUUGUGCCGUACAAAGUCUCUCCUUGAUCACUUUCACCUUCUCUAAGUCAUCCUGAACUAACUCUGACCUCAAUAAUAGCUGGGUGGCAACGCAAGCAUAUAGGUCACCUCCCAAUCCUCCCAAGCACCUCAAAAGGUCUGAUGAACCACGGACUUAGCUUCUCUUUAUUUCAAAACCUCAUAACACCCUUCAUGGGUGAAACCUUCAGCAAUAACUUCUCACCCACACGAGUAAGAUACAUCUCGAACCAUCCGGUUUGCAUAAUUCUUCUGACACGACUGAGCUGUACGAAGUCUCUCCUAGAUCACCUUCACCUUCUCUAAAGCAUCCUGAACUAUCUCCGUCCCUAAUAAUCUAGCCUCACCGGGCUCAAACCAACCAACUGGAAAUAUACAUCGUCUCCCAUAUAAGGCCUCAUACGCCGCCAUGUGUAUGCUGGAUUGAUAGUUGUUAUUAUAUGCAAACUACGCAAGUGGCAAGAACUCAGCCCAAGAACCUCCAAAAUUAAUAACACAGACACGCAACAUGUCCUCCAAUAUCUGGAUAGUACGCUCGGACUAUCCGUCCGUUUGAGGAUUAAAUGUUGUGCUCAAUUGUACCUGUGUGCCCAACUCCUGAUGAAAAGUCCUCCAGAACUAGGAAGUAAACACGGUACCCCUAUCUGAUACAAUGGAAACUGGGACCCCAUGCAACCGUACAAUCUCUCGGAUGAAAAUCUCUGCUAGCUUCUCCGCAGAAUAGGUAGUACAUACUGGAAUGAAGUGCGCGGACUUGGUCAGCCUAUCCACAAUCACCAAAAUUGAAUCAAACUUCUUCGAGGUAUGAGGAAGACCACUCACAAAAUCCAUGGUAAUAUUCUCCCGUUUCCACUCCGGAAUAUUGAUCCGCUGGAGUACCUUACUGGGUCUCUGGUGCUCAUAUUUGACUUGCUGACAGUUGAGACACCAAGCCACAUAAUUCACAAUAUCCUUUUUCAUCCUCCUCCACCAAUAGUGCUGCCUCAAAUCCUGAUACAUCUUCGUGGUACCCGGAUAAAUCGAAUACCGCGAGUUGUAAGACUCCUAUAAUAUCAACUCUCGGAGCCCAUCCACAUUGGGCACGCAAAUUCGGCCCUGAAUCUGCAACACACCAUCAUCACCAAUUGCACAUCUCUGGCAUCAUCAUGCUGAACCAUGUCUUUCAAGACAAGCGAAUGCGGGUCAUCAUAAUGGCGCUCUCUGAUGCGGUCAUACAAAUAAGAUUGGGAAACCAUACUAGCCAACACCCUACUGGGCUCAGAAAUAUCUAACCUCACCAUAUUGUCCAAGGUCUGAACAUCAACCCCAAGGGGCCUCUCCCCAACUGGAAUGUACGGCAGACUACCCAUGCUAAUAUCCUUCUGGCUCAAAGCAUCAGCUACUACAUUGGCCUUCCCGGGAUGAUACAAAAUGGUAAUAUCAUAGUCUUUGAGUAACUGAAGCCAUCUCCACUGCCUUAGAUUAAGAUCCUCCUACUUAAAAAAGUGCUGAAGAGUACUAUGGUCUGUAUAUAUCUCAAGAGAUACACCAUAUAGAUAAUGCCUCCAAAUCUUCAAGGCAAGAACAAUUGCAGCCAACUCUAAGUCAUGAACAUGGUAGUUCUUCUCAUGGGGCUUUAGCUGACGAGAAGCACAAGCAAUCACUCUACCCUCCUGCAUCAAUACAAAGCCGAUCCUAAUUCUCGAAGCAUCACAAUACACCGUAUAGGAACCUGAAGCUAAAGGCAAUACUAGUACCGGAGAUGUGGUCAAAGCCAACGUGAGCUUCUAGAAGCUCUCCUCGCAUUCAUUCGACCACACAAAUGGAGCAUUCCUAUGAGUCAACUUCGUCAAAGGCGAAACAAUAGAUGCAAAGCCCUGAACGAAUCUACGGUAAUAACUCGCUAAACCGAGGAAACUCCGAAUCACAGUAGCUGAGGACGGUCUGGGCCAACUCUACACCGCCUCAAUAUUCUUUGGGUCAACCUGAAUACCAUCACUAGACACCACGUGUCCCAGAAAAGCCACAGUACUAAGCCAGAACUCACACUUGGAGAACUUCGCAUAAAGUUUCUCCUCUCUCAUUCUCUACAAUACCACCCUCAAGUGUUGCGCAUGCUCCUCCUAUCUGCGCGAGUACACAGGAAUAUCAUCAAUAAAAACGAUAACAAAAUAAUCUAGAUAUGGCCGAAAUACAGUGUUCAUCAAGUGCAUAAAUGCGGAUGGGGCAUCAGCCAGCCCGAAGGACUUAACUAGAAAGUCGUAAUGCCCAUAUCUUAUCCUGAAAACCAUCUUCAUAAUGUCUGAGUCCCUAAUCUUCAGCUGAUGGUAGCCUGAUCGGAGGUUAAUCUUAGAGAAUACCCUUGCUCCCUGGGGCUGAUCAAACAAAUCCUCAAUACGUGGUAGUGGGUACUUGUUCUUCACUGUCACCUUAUUCAACUGCCUGUAGUCAAUGCACAUUCUCGAAUACUCUUGCUCCCUAGAGCUGAUCAAACAAAUCCUCAAUACGGGGAAGUGGGUACUUGUUCUUCACUGUCACGUUAUUCAACUGCUUGUAGUCAAUCCACAUUCUCAUUGUGCCAUCCUUCUUCUUUAUAAAUAAUACCAGUGCACCCCAAGGUGACACACUCGGGCGAAUGAACCCCUUAUUUAGGAGUUCCUGAAGUUGUUCUUUAAUCUUCUUUAGCUACUCUGGUGCCAUACGAUAGGGAGGAAUAAAGAUAGGGUGAGUGCCCGGCACCAAAUCAAUACAAAAAUCAAUGUCCCUAUCCGGCGGCAUGCCCGGCAAGCCGCUGGAAACAAAUCAGGGAAAUCCCUUACAACGGAUAUCGAAUCAAGACUAGGAGCCUCGACUUCCACAUCUCUCACGAAAGCCAAAUAUGAUAAACAACCUUUUCUAACCAUCAGUUGGGUUUUUAGGAAAGAAAUCACUCUGCUAGGUAAAUAAUCAUUCACGCCUCACCACUCGAUCCUCGGAAUACCCAGAAUAGCUAAUGUAACAGUCUUAGCAUGACAGUCCAAAACAGCAUGGUAUGGAGAUAGCCAUUCCAUACCCAGAAUCAUGUCGAAAUCUACCAUUCCCAAUAAUAACAGGUAUCCAGACCCCCAAUAGUCACCAAACAAGAUCGAUAUACAUGAUCCACAAUAAUAGUAUCACCCACCGAGGUAGAUACGUGCACAUGCAAGGAAACACAACCACGAGUCGUACCCAAAUGAUGAGCAAAAUAUGAAGAUACAUAUGAAUAGGUAGAUUCGGAAAAAAAUAGAAGCAUUCCUGUGGCAGACUAAGAUAAUACCUGUUAUGACUACAUCCGAGAAAAUAGUGUCCCUCCUAUCUAGAAGGGCAUAGAAAUAAGCCUGACCAUUGCUAGUACGGUCCUCACCCCUGGGGAGACCUCUGGCUACCUGGCCUCCAACCCUAGCUGACUGAGUAGGAGCCAAAGAAAUCGGAGCAGAAGAUAAGGGUUGAUCCCUCUGCUGAGACUGUCUGCUACGGAGCCGAGGACAUUUAUCCUCAUGUAACCCAACUCACCGCACUAAUAGCAACAACCUGGGGCUGGAGAAGGGGAUUGAUGAAAACCCCUCACUGCAGAUGAACCCUGAGCUGAAGGAGCAGGAGCAGAGCUCAGAGCUAGGAGAGCACUCAGUGCAGGCUGACUCUGCUGAUGACCCUGGUGGCCCCGGUUUGAAAAGGCUUCACUAGACCCUGUGCGUCCUGACUGAGGAGGCCUGAAGGAACGACCUCUACCAUGCUGGAACUGGCCCCUAGAUGGAGCACCACUGAAAUUACCUGAACCUCGAGGCCUCUUGGCCUCCCUCUCCAUACGAUCCCGACGGCGAUCUAUCUCAAUCGGUCGAGCUGCAUCAACAACCUCCUCAAAUGUAGCUGUUAUAGCCCUCCCUCUAGUCAUCAAUAUACGGAUCGGAUAGUAUAGGCCAUCUAUAAACCUUCCGAUCAUCUCUCUAUCUGUCCAUAUCAUCCACAUAGCAUGCCUAGCUAUCUGGGUAAACCGAAACUCGUACAGAGUCACUACCAUAUCCCCAUGAGUCAACCACUCAAACUGACGACGCAGCUCCUCCUUGUGAGACCGGGGCACAUACUUCUCAAAAUACCGUGGAGAACUGAUGUCAAGUGAGGGGCGCUGCCUCAAUAGGCCUACGCCUCUCGGACUCUUCCCACCAAGUAAAUGCAGCCCUUGUGAACUGGAAGGUGGUAAAAGCCACUCCACUAGACUCCAGAAUACUCGCAGUACGAAGGAUAAUAUGGCAUUUAUCCAGAAAACCCUAGGCAUCCUCUCCCUCAGCAUCAUUGAAUGUCGGAGGCUGGAGCUUACCAAACCUCUCCAAACAGCAAUGCUCGUCAUCCAGUAUAGCUGGAACCACAUGAGCUAGAGCGGGUGCGACCGGCGGAAUUGGAACAACCGUGCAAUUGGAGCAACUGGCUGAACUGGAGCUACCUCAGGUGUCUGUAAGCCCUGAACAACCUUCUCGAGUGUGCGAGCAUCCGGGGUCUGAUGACCGGUGACCACCCCCAGUCUGAGAAGUAGCCGCUACUGUAAUGGACGACACCACCUGAGUCAGGACAGUGCAGACGGACAAGAUUUGAGCCAAAGCCUCCUGAAGGCCAGGAAUCACGAUAGGCACUGUCAGUGCAUGAACAGGUGCUACUGCAGCAUCUACAGCUGGAGGCUGGUCCUGGACCUGGGCAGCUGGUGGGUCUGCGGGUGUUGCCCCUGCUGGACCGCCUCGUCCGGCACCACGACCUCGUCUACGGCCUCUAGCAGGUGGUACUGGUGAUCGUCCGCCACGUCCGUUAGCACGGGUUCUCGACAUCUGCGAAAAUUUUAGUUUUUACAAUAACAAAGCCGCACGAUAAGAAUUUCAAGAAAGUGAGGUGUUUCCUAAAAGUUUUGUAGCCUCCCAAGGAUAGAUACAAAUGUCUAUGUACCGAUCCACGAGACUAUACUAAACCGGCUCAUGACUCGUGAGGCCUAGUAACCUAGGCUCUAAUACCAACUUGUCACGACCCAAACCCGGUCGUGAUGGCGCCCAACCAUAACGCUAGGGAAGCAUGACCAACAAUCGCUCUCAUUUCGAAAAUAAAUCUCAAAACCGAUAAUUUAAAGAGAAAAUAGUAAUUCUAGAAUAAUAUUCCAAUAUUAUUAAUAGGAUAAUAUGGAAAGAUACGAAAACAGAUAAACACUCCCAAGAUAUGGGGUCACGAGUCUAGAGCCUCUAAAACAACUGGACAAUAAUAUCUGAAUGUCAAUAUAUAAGUAUGGAAAUGUAUAUGAUGAUAAUAAACUGAAUUAGGAAGAGCAGCCAGGCCUUGCGAACGUCAAGCAGCUACCUCAACAACUCUGAACAAUCUGCGGAGAAAACGUGUGAUCGGCUAAGCCUCCGAUGUACCUGAAUUUGCACAUAAGGUGCAGGGAGUAGGGGUGAGUACUACCGACUCAGUGAGUAAUAAGCAUAUAAAAUGUCUGAAGGUAAAAAAUCCACGAAAUGCCACAAAGCAAAAGUAAAACUAAAAGUCUGACACCUUAACUACGAACGAACAACAAAGCAAUAUCAAAUAUAUAUCAGUCAAGUAUCAUGCAAAGAUGCAAUGCAAUGCACAUGAAUCCACUGCGGCGUACAACCUGAUCAGUUUAGGGUCGACGACGCUUAUUGGGGUGUGUACAGACUCCAGAGGGGCUCCUUCAGCCCAAGCACAAUAUCAUCAUAUCACUGCUUCGGUGCGCAACCCGAACCAUACUCAGUCCACAGUAUGCAUAUGAUUUAGAUGACAGAUUCAAUUUAUUUUUCAGUUCCCAAUUAUUACGAAGAAUAUAAUUUAAUUUUUAGUUUCCGGAAAAAGGUGACUUAGCAUUUAAUAAUAGUGAUUAAGCACAGGACAGAAAUUAGUGAUUAUGCAAAUCAUGUUAUCACAAAGAUAUUAAUCCUAGACGGAUACUACAGAUUGGCACAAGGCCCCAACAUGGAAAUAAGCCCAGAUAUAUUAACUACAGGGUGCGUAUCAUCCGCCAAUAAUUAUAUUUAGCUCUAGGGAUGGACCAAGUCACAAUCCCCAAUCAUAUACGAUCCUGCAUCUUCCAUGGGGUGUGAGUCACACCCUAACAUAGCGUCACGAAGUGAGAAAUCAGGGUUUCAAACCCUUAGGCCAUCAAAUAUCCAAACUACUCACCUCUAACCGGUCGUAGACUGGUCCUCAAUACCUUUUCCUUUUGAAUCUCCUUAUACAUGCAGCAAAUCUAGUCGAAAUCACAACGAAUUAAGUUAUUAUAGGUUAAAGAAACAUAACCCAAUUGAAAUUACUUGAAAAACACUAAAAAUAACGAAAUUGGUUAAACCCGAGCCCCGAGCCCACUUCUCAAAAAUUCCAAAAAUCACAUCAAUGGAUACCUCGUCUCACCACGAGUCUGUACAUAUAAAGUUUGUCGAAAAGGAGUUCCAAUGCCCCUUCAAAUUCUAUUUUUAUAUCACAAAUUUUCAAGCCCUAACUUAACCCAUUUGGUGGGUUUUUCACUGAUUUCUACAAUGAUUUGCCAUAAACUCGAGUAAUUAGGCUAAGAAACUUACCUUCAUAUGAUUCUAGGUCAAUUCCCUCGAAAGUCCUUGCCCAAAGCUCAUGUGGGGGUUAACAAUGGUGGAAGUAAUGAAGAAGUUCGCGGAUGUUCUGAUUAUAAAACACUUCUGCCCGCCCAGGUAAUUACUCUAUGCAAUCGCAUCAUCCCUAUUGCGAUCGCAUAGAAUAAACUUCACGUCCCCCAGAUUAUCUCUAUUCGAACGCACUACUGCCCUGCGUUCGCUUAGACCAAGGUCCAGACCCCCCUUAAAUGCUCUAUGCGUUCGCAUUUCCCCCAUGCGUUCGCAUAGAGUAAAUUCCAGCCAAGGACCCCAUCGCCAAUGCACUACGCGAUCGCAUGGCCCAUUGUGCGAUCACAUAGAACAAACAGGGCCCCUCUACCAGCCUUCUAUGUGAUCGCAGACACCCUAUGCGAUCGCAUAGAGCUACGUUUUUGCUGCAAUUUUCUGUUGCAUUUCCUCAUUUCAAUUUUUUCCGUUAGCCAUCCGAUAUCACCCCGAGGCCCUCGAGACCUCAACCAAAAGCACAGAACGUUCUAUUACUUCCUUCAAACUUUUUUGUAGCAUAAAAACACUAUCAUAAACAUCAAAAUCAUCAAAUUUCCACGAAUUCAAAUCUAAGUUAAACUAAAACUUCUGAAACUUGCAUUUGAUCCAAACCCCGACCUAAACACCUCUGAAUGACCUGAAUAUUUGCACGCAUAUUCAAAAUCACCUAAUGGAGCUACUGCAACUGUCGGAAUUCUAUUCCGGCCCUCGGAUCAAAAUCUCACCUAUCAAUCAGAAUUCGCCAAUAUUCAAACUUAGCCAAUUCAAGCCUAAUUCUACACCGGACCUCCAAAUUCAGCUCCAAUAGUGCUCCUAAGUCAUAAAUCACCACCCAAAACUAGUCAAAUCAUCGAAUAUCUAUUCCGAGCCCUCUAACUCGUAAUUCAACAUUCGGUUGACUUUUCUAAACUAACCUUCUCAUAAGGAGACUAUUUGUCUCAUUUUUAACCGAACUCUAUCCGAAUUACUUCAAAUUCUCCAAACACAUAUAAUGAAACAUAUAAAAGCAUAAAACGGGAAAAACAGGGCGAUAACUCACGUGACGACGGGUCAGGUUGUUACACCUUCCCAGUUCCUAGGUACACUCAUGUUGAUCUUUUCGUAAAGUAUUAGCCUUUUCAAGGAUAAUCCGCUCUGAUACCAAUUGAUGUUCCAAACGUCAAUACCACACAAAAGAGGGGGGUGUGAUUCAUAUUUUCGAUUUAGAAGAACCUGGUUCUUCUAGGUGUUCUAACUACUACUAUUUGCGGAAUUAAAAUACAGAAAUAAAAGAACACGGAGAUUUUUACGUAGAAAACAUCUGGCUCAAAAGGUGAAAAAACCACGACGUACUAGUCAGUAGAAUUUUUCCAAACAUCUAAUAAACUCAAUGAGCCAACAUAGCAUUUACAAAACUCUUGUAAACCUAAGGAUUAACUAUAAUCCUAGUGUGGCACACAGCCUAAACUGCAGCGACACUUCCAAGUUAACUCUAACUUGAAUACUCAAAGUACCUAAUACAAUUGCUUCUAUGAAAGCUGGAAAGGUACAAGUUUUAAAUCACCUAUUAUAAUUGAACUAGAAUAAAAAUAAACACAAUGGAACUGGUUGUUCUAUCUCGUUCAAGUAGCUGCAAGAGUGCAUACUUGAUCUCAUAUAAAUUGCUUGUAAAAUUGCCUUGCUCUUUUGCUCUCAAUUUACCUUAACUUAUGCAUAUGUGCAUACCUUUAAAAGAUAACAACUCAGUUAUUUAUUAGGUUAGUAAUCAGAGCUUGACCGGGACUCAAUUUAUGAUCCUCCAUUGAGUUUGAGUCCUAGACCAAUCCAAACUCCAACCAUUAUCCGGUUGUGUUCUCUUCUCAUAAGGAGACUUCUUAUCUUUAUUCCAUAUGCAAUCUUUUUGAUCGGUUUAGAAGAUAUUGUUACUUGAUCCCAAAGGCUUAUCUUCUUCACGUGCACAUCAUGUGCAUGUGCCAUAAUAAUUUUGUCUCAUAAGAUGGACCCGGCUCUUUACUUAAUUCAUUUGUCAUUCUUCAAAUAUUUAAUGAGCUUGGGCCAACACUAAGCAAAUUGAUGUAUUAGAUGCAGUUGCUUAGUUCUCCGGGGAAAUUGAAAUUCCAAAGGAGUUUUACCGCAACUUCAUUAAUAAUUUGCUAAAUUCUUUUGGAGAUUUCAUCUUCUUUUUCAUUAUUUAUUGCUGAAUAUUUUCCUUCAAUUUAUUAAUAAAUUCUCAGCAUAUCGAUUUUCAGAUACUUGCAUAUGUCUGGAAAUUAUUGGAGACAUUUUGACAUGAUUUUUCUAAUAAUAAAUAGCUUUGCUUUUGUAAUUCUUCUAUCUUUUUAGUUAUCGAUUUAUAUAUAAUGUUCAGUGAAGAAACAAUUUUUUUUUUUUUGAAGGAGGGUUUGAUGGUGGAGUUAUUGAAGAAGAAGAUGAUGGCUUUAGGGUGUGUUUGGUACAAAGGAAAACAUAAUUCGAAAAAUAUUUUUUAAUUUUUCUAUGUUUAGUUGGCUUAAAUAAUUUAGAAAAGUAUUUUCCUUAUUAAUUUAUUUUCUUUCAAUUGGAGGAAAAUGUUUUGCUUAUCAAAAGAAGGGAAAACAUUUUCCAAGCCUCCUUCUCAAUCUUCUCUACCCCACACCCUCUCAAAAAAAGGUUUUCUUUUUCUUUUUUUAAAAUUUCAGUUUUUCCGUUACCACCUACCCUAGUAUCCCACCACUACCCACCCCGC